rnacentral:rRNA from 1 species
GACAGCAGCAGCCACGGUAAUGCGGAGGGGGCUAGCGUUGUUCGGAAUUACUGGGCGUAAAGCGCACGUAGGCGGCUUGGUAAGUUAGAGGUGAAAGCCUGGAGCUCAACUCCAGAAUUGCCUUUAAGACUGCCGAGCUAGCAGGUGAGAGAGGUAAGUGGAAUUCCGAGUGUAGAGGUGAAAUUCGUAGAUAUUCGGAAGAACACCAGUGGCGAAGGCGGCUUACUGGCUCAUACUGGACGCUGAGGUGCGAAAGCGUGGGGAGCAAACAGGAUUAGAUACCCGCGUAGUCCCUGUCUCUUAUAC